CUGGUGCACCAGUUGUUCCGCCAGGAGCACAGCUGGGUAGCUAAGUGCGGACGGGAUAAGCGCUGAAAGCAUCUAAGCGUGAAGCCCCCCUCAAGAUGAGAUUUCCCAAUUAGUAAGACCCCUUGAAGACGACAAGGUUGAUAGGCCUGAGGUGGAAGUGCAGCAAUGCAUGGAGCUGACAGGUACUAAUCGGUCGAGGGCUUAUCCA
rnacentral:rRNA from 1 species